GGGCGGUUAGUUCAGUAGGAGAACAUCUGCUUGACACGCAGAAGGUCGUAGGUGCGAUUCCUACACCGCCCACCA
rnacentral:tRNA from 1 species